AAGGGGGCUAGCGGAUGGAAGUGCUAGUCUAAGGUCGUAGGAGGUUAUACAGGAAAAUCCGUAUAACAAUACUCCGAGAACUGAAAGGCUUUUUGAAGUCUUCGGAUGGAUAGAAGAACCCCUGAUGCCGUCGAGCCAAGAAAAGUUUCUAAGUUUAGCUAAUGUUGCCCGUACCGUAAACCGACACAGGUGGGUGGGAUGAGUAUUCUAAGGCGCGUGGAAGAACUCUCUUUAAGGAACUCUGCAAAAUAGCACCGUAUCUUCGGUAUAAGGUGUGGUUAGCUUCGUACUAGGAUUUACUCCGAAAGCGAAGAAACUUACAACAAAGAGUCCCUCCCGACUGUUUACCAAAAACACAGCACUCUGCUAACUCGUAAGAGGAUGUAUAGGGUGUGACGCCUGCCCGGUGCUCGAAGGUUAAUUGAUGGGGUUAGCAUUAGCGAAGCUCUUGAUCGAAGCCCGAGUAAACGGCGGCCGUAACUAUAACGGUCCUAAGGUAGCGAAAUUCCUUGUCGGUUAAAUACCGACCUGCAUGAAUGGCGUAACGAGAUGGGAGCUGUCUCAAAGAGGGAUCCAGUGAAAUUGUAGUGGAGGUGAAAAUUCCUCCUACCCGCGGCAAGACGGAAAGACCCCGUGGACCUUUACUACAGCUUGACACUGCUACUUGGAUAAGAAUGUGCAGGAUAGGUGGGAGGCUUUGAGUAUAUGACGCCAGUUGUAUAGGAGCCAUUGUUGAGAUACCACUCUUUCUUAUUUGGGUAGCUAACCAGCUUGAGUUAUCCUCAAGUGGGACAAUGUCUGGUGGGUAGUUUGACUGGGGCGGUCGCCUCCCAAAUAAUAACGGAGGCUUACAAAGGUUGGCUCAGAACGGUUGGAAAUCGUUCGUAGAGUAUAAAGGUAUAAGCCAGCUUAACUGCAAGACAUACAAGUCAAGCAGAGACGAAAGUCGGUCUUAGUGAUCCGGUGGUUCUGUGUGGAAGGGCCAUCGCUCAAAGGAUAAAAGGUACCCCGGGGAUAACAGGCUGAUCUCCCCCAAGAGCUCACAUCGACGGGGAGGUUUGGCACCUCGAUGUCGGCUCAUCGCAUCCUGGGGCUGGAGCAGGUCCCAAGGGUAUGGCUGUUCGCCAUUUAAAGCGGUACGCGAGCUGGGUUCAGAACGUCGUGAGACAGUUCGGUCCCUAUCUGCCGUGGGCGUAAGAAGAUUGAAGAGAUUUGACCCUAGUACGAGAGGACCGGGUUGAACAAACCACUGGUGUAGCUGUUGUUCUGCCAAGAGCAUCGCAGCGUAGCUAAGUUUGGAAAGGAUAAACGCUGAAAGCAUCUAAGCGUGAAGCCAACUCUAAGAUGAAUCUUCUCUAAGCUCUCUAGAAGACUACUAGUUUGAUAGGCUGGGUGUGUAAUGGAUGAAAGUCCUUUAGCUGACCAGUACUAAUAGAGCGUUUGGCUUAUCUUUAAUAAAGCAU
rnacentral:rRNA from 1 species